rnacentral:rRNA from 1 species
UACGUAGGGUGCAAGCAUUGUCCGGAUUUAUUGGGCGUAAAGAGCUCGUAGGCGGCUUGUCACGUCGGGUGUGAAAACUCGGGGCUUAACCCCGAGCCUGCACUCGAUACGGGCUAGCUAGAGUGUUGCAGGGGAGACUGGAAUUCCUGGUGUAGCGGUGAAAUGCGCAGAUAUCAGGAGGAACACCGGUGGCGAAGGCGGGUCUCUGGGCAACUACUGACGCUGAGGAGCGAAAGCGUGGGGAG